rnacentral:rRNA from 1 species
GCCUGAUCCAGCCAUACCGCGUGGGUGAAGAAGGCCUUCGGGUUGUAAAGCCCUUUUGUUGGGAAAGAAAUCCUGUCGGUUAAUAACCGGUGGGGAUGACGGUACCCAAAGAAUAAGCACCGGCUAACUUCGUGCCAGCAGCCGCGGUAAUACGAAGGGUGCAAGCGUUACUCGGAAUUACUGGGCGUAAAGCGUGCGUAGGUGGUGGUUUAAGUCUGCUGUGAAAGCCCUGGGCUCAACCUGGGAAUUGCAGUGGAUACUGGAUCACUAGAGUGUGGUAGAGGGAUGCGGAAUUUCUGGUGUAGCAGUGAAAUGCGUAGAGAUCAGAAGGAACAUCCGUGGCGAAGGCGGCAUCCUGGGCCAACACUGACACUGAGGCACGAAAGCGUGGGGAGCAAACAGGAUUAGAUACCCUGGUAGUCCACGCCCUAAACGAUGCGAACUGGAUGUUGGGUGCAACUUGGCACCCAGUAUCGAAGCUAACGCGUUAAGUUCGCCGCCUGGGGAGUACGGUCGCAAGACUGAAACUCAAAG